rnacentral:rRNA from 1 species
AACAUCGCCUCUUGCUAAAAUAUAAGAGGUCCCGCCUGCCCCGUGAAUUAAUUUAACGGCCGCGGUAUCUUGACCGUGCAAAGGUAGCAUAAUCAAUUGUUCUUUAAAUAAGGACUAGUAUGAACGGCAUCACGAGGGUUUAACUGUCUCCCUAUUUUAAUCAAUGAAAUUGAUCCCCCCGUGAAGAAGCGGGGACAUAACUAUAAGACGAAAAGACCCCAUGGAGCUUUAAACUUAUUUUCAAUUACCAAAAACCAAAACAUACACCCGGUAAAAAUGAUAAUCGUUUUCGGUUGGGGCGACCCUGGAGAAAAAUAAAUCCUCCAAGCUGAAUAGAUUAGAAUCUAAUGUUAGAGCAACAACUCAAACAAUCAAAACCUUGACAAAAUGACCCAGAAUUCAUCUGAUCAACGAACCAAGUUACCCUGGGGAUAACAGCGCAAUCCAUUUCAAGAGCCCUUAUCGACAAAUGGGUUUACGACCUCGAUGUUGGAUCGGGGUAUCCUAGCAGCGCAGCCGUUGCUUAAGGUUCGUUUGUUCAACGAUUAAUAACCCCACGUG